AAGUCGAGCGGCAGCACGGGUACUUGUACCUGGUGGCGAGCGGCGGACGGGUGAGUAAUGCCUAGGAAUCUGCCUAGUAGUGGGGGAUAACGUCCGGAAACGGGCGCUAAUACCGCAUACGUCCUACGGGAGAAAGUGGGGGAUCUUCGGACCUCACGCUAUUAGAUGAGCCUAGGUCGGAUUAGCUAGUUGGUGAGGUAAUGGCUCACCAAGGCGACGAUCCGUAACUGGUCUGAGAGGAUGAUCAGUCACACUGGAACUGAGACACGGUCCAGACUCCUACGGGAGGCAGCAGUGGGGAAUAUUGGACAAUGGGCGAAAGCCUGAUCCAGCCAUGCCGCGUGUGUGAAGAAGGUCUUCGGAUUGUAAAGCACUUUAAGUUGGGAGGAAGGGCAGUUACCUAAUACGUGAUUGUUUUGACGUUACCGACAGAAUAAGCACCGGCUAACUCUGUGCCAGCAGCCGCGGUAAUACAGAGGGUGCAAGCGUUAAUCGGAAUUACUGGGCGUAAAGCGCGCGUAGGUGGUUUGUUAAGU
rnacentral:rRNA from 1 species